rnacentral:misc_RNA from 1 species
AACGCACAUUGUGCCCCUUGGCAUUCCGGGGGGCACACCUGUUCGAGCGCCAUUUCGACCCUCAAGCACAGCUUGGUGUUGGGCUCGGUCCCGGGGGACCUGCCCGUAACUCGUAGGCGGCCACCGCCCGCGCCCCCAGCGUAGCAAGCUCACGCAUUCGCUCGGGGACGGCGCGUCUGGCCCGCCAGGCAAAACCCAAACCCUCCCAAGGUUUGGCCUCGGAUCAGGUGGGGAUACCCGCUGAACUUAA